rnacentral:rRNA from 1 species
GACGAACGCUGGCGGCGUGCUUAACACAUGCAAGUCGAACGGAAAGGCCCUGCUUUUGUGGGGUGCUCGAGUGGCGAACGGGUGAGUAACACGUGAGUAACCUGCCCUUGACUUUGGGAUAACUUCAGGAAACUGGGGCUAAUACCGGAUAGGAGCUCCUGCUGCAUGGUGGGGGUUGGAAAGUUUCGGCGGUUGGGGAUGGACUCGCGGCUUAUCAGCUUGUUGGUGGGGUAGUGGCUUACCAAGGCUUUGACGGGUAGCCGGCCUGAGAGGGUGACCGGCCACAUGGGGACUGAGAUCCGGCCCAGACUCAUCCGGGAGGCAGCAGUGGGGAAUAUGGCCCAAGGGGCGGAAGCCUGAUGCAGCACCGCCGCGUGCGGGAUGCCGGCCUUCGGGUUGUAAACCGCUUUCGCCUGUGACGAAGCGUGAGUGACGGGAAUGGGUAAAGAAGCACCGGCUAACUACGU